rnacentral:rRNA from 1 species
CCUACGGGUGGCAGCAGUGAGGAAUAUUGGUCAAUGGACGAGAGUCUGAACCAGCCAAGUAGCGUGAAGGAUGACUGCCCUAUGGGUUGUAAACUUCUUUUAUAUGGGAAUAAAAUGUUCCACGUGUGGGAUUUUGUAUGUACCAUAUGAAUAAGGAUCGGCUAACUCCGUGCCAGCAGCCGCGGUAAUACGGAGGAUCCGAGCGUUAUCCGGAUUUAUUGGGUUUAAAGGGAGCGUAGGUGGAUUGUUAAGUCAGUUGUGAAAGUUUGCGGCUCAACCGGAAAAUUGCAGUUGAAACUGGCAGUCUUGAGUACCGGAGAGGUCAUCGGAAUUCCUUGUGUAGCGGUGAAAUGCGUAGAUAUAAGGAAGAACACCAGUGGCGAAGGCGGAUGACUGGACGGCAACUGACGGUGAGGCGCGAAAGCGUGGGGAGCAAACAGGAUUAGAUACCCGUGUAGUC